GAUGAACGCUGGCGGCGUGCCUAAUACAUGCAAGUCGAGCGAAGCGGGGACGGGGGUGCAACAAGUGUAUAACCUCCUUUAAGAAUGGGAUUACUUCGGGAAACCGGUGCUUAACCGGCUCCUUAUAGAUGGUUGAGCGCGGAAUUCGCUAGUUGGUAAGGUAACGGCUUACCAAGGCAACGAUGCAUAGCCGGCCUGAGAGGGUGAUCGGCCACACUGGAACUGAGACACGGUCCAGACUCCGACGGGAGGCAGCAGUAGGGAAUCUUCCGCAAUGGGCGAAAGCCUGACGGAGCAACGCCGCGUGAGUGAUGAAGGUCUUCGGAUCGUAAAACUCUGUUAUUAGGGAAGCGGUACCUAAUCAGAAAGCCACGGCUAACUCCGUGCCAGCAGCCGCGGUAAUAC
rnacentral:rRNA from 1 species